CCUGCCCGCUGAUAUAAAUUGAAGGGCCGCGGUAUUUUAACUGUGCGAAGGUAGCAUAAUCAUUAGUCUUUUAAUUGGGGGCUUGUAUGAAUGGUUGGACAAAAGAAAGGCUGUCUGUAGCUAGAAUUUGAAUUUAACUUUUAAGUGAAAAGGCUUAAAUUAACUAAAGGGACGAUAAGACCCUAUAAAACUUUAUACACAACCAGGUUAGUUUAAAAUUAGCUUUAAAGAAUGGGGCUGAAGAAUGUAUUUUAUUGGGGAGAUAAAAAUAUAAUUGUAGAUAACUGUUUUAACGGCAUACUUUAAUUUUUGAAUAAAAGAGAAAAUUGAUCCUAUCUAUGGAUUUAAAGAUUAAGUUACUUUAGGGAUAACAGCGUAAUUUUUUUUGAGAGCUCGUAUCGAAAAAAGAGUUUGCGACCUCGAUGUUGAAUUAAAUUAUCUUUAUAAUGGAGAAGUUAUAUGAGAAAGUCUGUUCGACUUUUAAAUUUUUACGUGAUCUGGGUU
rnacentral:rRNA from 1 species